UGGGGAUUGAGCAGUGAACAAAAGCAGUAAACUUCUUGCCCUUGGGUUCACAGGGAGAGAGGCCACAAACCAGCAUAUAAAUACAUAAAUAAGCAGUUUCUAAAGAAUGCCAGGGGUUAGAGAGCCACCGGGAUGGUGUAGGAAGGCAUCUUGGACUCAGGAGGUGACAUAUAAGCAGAGACCCAGGUGGCGUGGGGAAGCAGCAGGCAGGUCUGCGGGAACAGUGCUGCAGGGAGAGGGAACAGCACGUCCAGGGGCCCUGAGGUGGGGACAGCCCGACUGGCUAGAGGCCCAGGGUCUGGGUGGUGAGUGCGGGACAGAGGUGAGAAGACGCUGGGGAGCCUCCCGCUCAGCUGUCCUGAGUGCCGGCUUUAUUCGCAGACAUGGCGGAGGUGAGGGCUGCAAAGUCUAGCCCAUGCACCCAACCCAGCCGCCCAGCACUGCGCUCCCGGAAACAGCUCCCGGCUGCAUCUCACUGGCCAGCUGGGUUUCUCUGAACCCAUCGCUGAGGCUGGGGGAGGGAUGCUUUGACUGGCUGGUGGGGACUGGGAGUCCAUUUGGGCGAGGGUGUUGGCUGGACCAGCCGGGGGCGGUGAAGGGCUGGGGGUCCAGGUGGGAGAGGGUGUUGGCUGGACCAGCCGGGGGCGCGGUGAAGGGCUGGGGGUCCAGGUGGGAGAGGGUGUUGGCUGGACCAGCCGGGGGCGUGGUGAAGGGCUGGGGGUCCAGGUGGGCGAGGGUGUUGGCUGGACCAGCCGGGGGCGGUGAAGGGCUGGGGGUCCAGGUGGGCGAGGGUGUUGGCUGGACCAGCCGGGGGCAGUGAAGGGAGGGCAGGCAGGGUGCCUCAGGAUGAGGUGUGGUGAGGGCCGCUGUGGAGCCCGGGAAGGCGUCUGGCCGUGGUCUCAGUGCUCAGUGGAUCGGGUGAGAGGCUUCCAC
rnacentral:lncRNA from 1 species